CCUACGGGGGGCAGCAGUGAGGAAUAUUGGUCAAUGGCCGAGAGGCUGAACCAGCCAAGUCGCGUGAGGGAAGACGGCCCUACGGGUUGUAAACCUCUUUUGUCGGGGAGCAAAGCGAGUCACGUGUGACUCAUUGAGAGUACCCGAAGAAAAAGCAUCGGCUAACUCCGUGCCAGCAGCCGCGGUAAUACGGAGGAUGCAAGCGUUAUCCGGAUUUAUUGGGUUUAAAGGGUGCGCAGGCGGAGGUGCAAGUCAGCGGUCAAAUUGCGGGGCUCAACCCCGUACUGCCGUUGAAACUGCAGCCCUUGAGUGCGCGAGAAGUAUGCGGAAUGCGUGGUGUAGCGGUGAAAUGCAUAGAUAUCACGCAGAACUCCGAUUGCGAAGGCAGCAUACCGGCGCGCAACUGACGCUCAUGCACGAAAGCGUGGGUAUCGAACAGGAGUAGAUACCCUUGUAGUC
rnacentral:rRNA from 1 species